GUCCACGCAAUGGGAGGCAUCAUUUCGCCUCCGGGUGCUGACUACUCCCCGUCCCCG
rfam:Culex theileri flavivirus RP-2011 gene for viral polyprotein, genomic RNA, isolate 178